rnacentral:tRNA from 1 species
UCUCUCGAAAGCUAAUUUAGCAAUGGGCUUUUAACCCACAGAUUGGUAUUUAUCUACCUCGAGAGAA